rnacentral:misc_RNA from 1 species
AUAACAGAGUAAAUAUUUUUUAGAGAUCAAAUCAAAAAAAUGUGUUACUACCUCGAUGUUGAAUUAAGGUUAAAUUUAAUAGAAAAAAAUUAAACUUUAGGUCUGUUCGACCAUUAAAACCUUACAUGAUUUGAGUUAAGACCGGCGUAAGCCAGGUUGGUUUCUAUCUUUAAUUUAAAAAUUUUUAUAGUACGAAAGGACCUAAAAAUUUAAUUUAAUUAAUUAAUUAGCUUAUAUUAAAGCAAGUAUUUUGAAAAUACUAGAAAGAUAAAAAAUUUAUUAAUUUU